AUUCAGCUGACGAGUCCCAAAUAGGACGAAACGUGCGUCUUGGAU
rnacentral:hammerhead_ribozyme from 1 species